CUCUUUAUUCCCUGAAUGUGUGCUUACUAUGUCUCUCUCCUAAAUGUCUCUCAGUCUCAUUUUCCUAAAUAUCUCAACAGUCUCUCUAUCCUUUCUCUAUAUGUCUCCCCAGGCUGUUUCCGUUCUCUAAAUUUCUCACUGUGCGUCUGCUUUCACUUAAAGGGACACUAGGCACCCAGACCACUUCAGUUCAUUGAAGUGGUCUGGAUGCACUGUCCCAGGGUCAUUAACC